rnacentral:hammerhead_ribozyme from 1 species
GUAUUACUGAGGAGUCCCACAAUAGGACGAAACGGCCGUUCAGUGC